GCUCCAUUGGAGGAUUCAUAACCCAUUUUUCACCAAGUAGAGCAACGGCCUGAAGAUCAGAAGCGUGAGAGCCAGUACCCAUUCUGAAGGAGAAACACUAUAAGAGCCAUUCUCUGCUUUGAUCCAUGGUUCUUAUCUCGAAGAAGAUGCCUUCCAUGUGAAAGCUGGGAAAGAGAAACGUUGUCCUUGAACUUUAGUGGAGCUUGACAGGAUCCUUCAUCAAAUCCUACCUGCAGUUUUCUGAGCACGUGGAACGGAGUCAGUGCCCGGCUCUGGUCCUACAGGCUAUAUCUCCUUUCUUGAACCUCUCUUUGCUACAAGGACUAGGUACAUCUACCUGCUAGACAGAUGUUUUUCUUCCCACUUAUAGAGGCUUUUGAUCCAUGGAUAAGGAAGCCAGGGACAAAAGAAGACCCGCUCCAUUCUUCUGGGAAGAGCUGUCGAAUCUGUCUCCUUGGGAAGUUAGAUGGAUUUGGCUCCUAUUUGGAUGGCAAACCCACUGCCUGAAGGUGGAGAGUGGGGGAUAGUUGGAGAGGGUCUUGGUGCCUAAUGAAUUGUUCAGCAGAGUGCCCCACAGAAAGAAAGGCAGAUUCUCAAUCUGGAGCCAUGGAGCCCCUAAUGCCUCCCAGAUGAGGAACUAGCCAUAGACCUCCAAGGGUGUACUUGCUGACAUUUGCUCUCACAAGCACUGGGCAUAAGCCUAUUUUAUUGUGUUUAGCAUUGUGCAUGCAGAACAUGACAUUGCAAACACAAGCAUCCUGGACGAUGGAGCUGGUCCUCGGCAGACUUUCUCUAAAGCCAGAGAUAAUCCCUCCUGCACCAGAGCGCCAGCGUGAUGAUCCAGUCAGUGUCUAAAGCCCCAUGUGCUUACAGGAGAUCAAACAUCUGUCUCAGGCAAUUCUAGUCUACUGCCUAUCCAAAAGUGGAUCUAAGCAUGUGCCUACCUGAGACUGAUGUCCUACCCUGUAACAGUGAGUGAGGGUAGAAGACAUACAACAGAGUAAAUAUGCUCCCCUAUACUCUGGACCAAAUGAGACAUGAUUUAACACUGACCUGUCCUUGAACCAGCUGAUAAUUUGUUUUUAAAAUCCAAGCAAGCACGACUCCCAUUCCACUGUCUAUCGCUCGGUGUCUGAGGGAUAAUGGCCUGACAGUGCCGACAAGGACCAGAUGUGCAGUGGAUGGGUCGGGUCGGUCAGUGCUGGGAAGAAGAGAGGAGGGAGGGAAUAAGCUUGGAUGUCAUUACUUGGAAGGGUCACAGGGUCACUGACAGUGGCAAGAAACAGAUUUUUCCAGCUGCUUUCGGGCUGAGAUUUGCUCUGCAUAAUCUGGAUGCUUUUAUCUGUUUCUGAAAAUAGACAGGAAUUUUUUCCACAGGCUGCUCCAAUCUGGCUGUGGAGACGUGAGGGGGGAUUGAAGAGACAGUUGCAUGCAGUCCGGUAUGUUCGUUUGGAGCCCCCAUCCUCCACUUGUCCCUCCCUGCACCAGCCCUACAGGACAACAUCAUCUUAAUGUCCCUUGAAGAGGAGGGUCAGAAAUGUGAUGGAUACUUUCCACUCUGAAUUUUGCUUAGCAUCAGAGUAAGCAAUUCUUCCAUCGUUUGCCGUAAACACUCAGAGUAAAAGACCUUGGUGUGGUCAGAAGCACAGCUCUUUUAUCUAUAGCAUAACAACACCAUUCAGGAGACAAAUGAAGCAGGAAAGACAACGGCUCCGUCAGACUUAGGCUGUAUGGUUGUUACCAGUUCCACAAAUCGUUCUCUACCUUUGUCCUACCCUACAAAGAAGCAUUGCAAAUUAUCUGCAGAGAUCUUCUGGAAGGUUAACUCUGGAUUAAAUCAGGCUCAUCUCUCAGCAGCUGGUCCCUCUCGUCUGAGAUCAAAAGGAUCUUGAACCUUCCAAGUGAACUGCUGUCAAGCGAACAGCAGGAGGACCUCGAAUAUUAUUUACAUAGAGUUUUCUUUCCCCAAUUAUGUAUUGGUUUCUUCUUGUUACAAGCCUAUUUUAUAAACAAGGGAACCAAGACACAAAAGAGAAAACAGCAUACAGGAUCAUGUAGGCAGCCAUUAGGCCAGAAAUGAACAUAUCUUGAUGCCGCCUAUAUCUAUUCCAGCAUCUCGUUUCAAUUGUCAUUCAGCCACCUACCAAGAGAAAGGGCUCAGUUGUUUCGAGCAUGCAGGAGAACAACGUAGACCUUGUUGUAAAUGGAAAUUGACCAUGUGUACAUGGAGGCAAGAGGAGAGUGGCAGAUUGAUCCAGAAUGCUGGCAGUACCUCGAGGCUCUGAGAUGCCUUCCUUGUCCCUAGGAACGAACAGCCUCCUAAUUACAUCAGAGAGCUAGGAGGGGGGUAACAAAAGCAGACAUGGCAACUCGGUACCAUCCACUAUGGCCAAGGUCCUUGGAGAACUCUCAAUGAUGGCUGUGUCUAGAACCUGCAGUGCGGGAGUCACUUUCCCAAUGACACAGCUUUUCAACAUGAGGCAGUGCUAGGGAUCAAGUGUGUUCCCAGCUCUCACGCCUGGUGCUAGGGUGGCAUCACAAAGACCAUUGUAGUGCACAGGGAAAGGACUUGGAUCGACUGUGUGUACAAUGCUUGUGUCUCACCAGUUUUAGACAUGGUCAUCAAAGAGGGCAAAGAAGGGGAAGAAAGGCACAAAGAUCAGGGGAAGAUGGACAAAGACAUGGGAGGGAGGGAGACUAGAAGGAUGAGACAAAAACCUGAAUAGUGGUAACACGGAGAUAGUCAACAGCCUUCAUACAACAGGGCAGGGCAAGCCAGAGAGAAAGGGGGCAAAGGCAUUUUUAGCAGAGUGAGCCUACAUUGGCUCCAUAAUUGCUGUACCUUUAAGCCUCAGUGGGGACAUAGACAAACAAUCUGACCCACCGUUCCAGGGUCUUCUAGCCCAAAGCAACUCAGAGGAAAGAGGAGCAGGGAGCUGGCUGGUUUUAGAUGCAUGGAAAGAGGCAGGCUGGCAUCUGAGUCGCCCCCUCUUCUGGAAGCACCAAUGCACAUAGGAACUGACUUGCCGCUGAUGUCAUCUGGUAGUGACUUGUACAAGAGGAAAUGGUGGCACAUGGCAGCAGACACUUGUCCACGCUGUUCUUCAUUUCCCCAGGUACAGUUCCAAGGAUGUAGAAUUGCAGCUCUUUCAUAAUAAUAAAUAAAGUUAUAAAAGGAAAAAAUGGA
rnacentral:sRNA from 1 species